GACGAACGCUGGCGGCGUGCUUAAUACAUGCAAGUCGAACGGAAAGGCCCUGCUCUUGUGGGGUGCUCGAGUGGCGAACGGGUGAGUAACACGCGAGUAACCUGCCCUUGACUUUGGGAUAACUUUUGGAAACUGGGGCUAAUACCGGAUAGGAGCUCCUGCUGCAUGGUGGGGGUUGGAAAGUUUCGGCGGUUGGGGAUGGACUCGCGGGUUAUCAGCUUGUUGGUGGGGUAGUGGCUUUCCAAGGCUUUGAAGGGUAGCCGGCCUGAGAGGGUGACCGGCGACAAUGGGACUGCGAUACGGCCCAGUCUCCUACGGGAGGCAGAAGUGGGGAAUAUUGCACAGUGAGCGGAAGCCUGAUGCAGCAACGCCGCGUGCGGGAUGACGGCCUUCGAGUUGUAAACCGCUUUCGCCUGUGACGAAGCGUGAGUGACGGUAAUGGGUAAAGAAGCACCGGCUAACUACGUG
rnacentral:rRNA from 1 species